rnacentral:lncRNA from 1 species
UAUACAGACCCCUAAGAUUCCUGCAUUGCCGCAUCUGAUUCAGUGAUUGGGCCACAUUGAAUUGAAACACAGAGAUUAAUGAACAUACAGUUAGGUCCAUAAAUAUUUGGAUAGUGACACAAUCUUCAUAAUUUGGGCUCUACAUGCCUUUUAGAGUGGAUUGGAAAUAAAGCAAAUAAGAUGCAGUUGAAAAGUAAACUUGUAGAGGCUCAAAAGUAAAAAAAAACAAAAAAUAUACCAUAAAUAAAAUGUUAGUUUUUAACACUUUGUUUAAAAUUCUUUUUAGGCAAUGAUUGCCUGAAGUCUGUAAAUCAUAAAUAUUACCAAACACUGGGUGUCAUCCGUUAUGAUGUUUACCAGGCCUUUACUGCAAUUGUUGUUGAAGACAGUUUUAGUUUGAAAUGCUGCUUGAUUAGGUUCAGAUCUAGCGAUUGACUCGACCACUGCAGAAUAUUCCACUUUGUCCCUCAGACUUUAUCUGAGGGAUGGAUCUGUACCUACUGACUGUGGCAAGUCAGCAGAUAAAGGAGCUCACAGGCACCUGGUGCUGAUUGACAUCUACCCUCCCAGAAAGAGUAAGACCAACGUAGAGCAUUUGACGGAGAAGAUGAAGACCGGCAUCCAGAGAGGCCUAGUACUGAGGUACCUGACACACACACACACUUAUAUAUGCAUGGUUAUAGUGUUUUUUUUAUUGUUGUUGUUUAGGGUAACAUUUACUAAGGCUACAUAAACUCUGCAUACGCUCUUCUUGUAAACUGUCCCAAAACACUCACACAGUGUUAUUUAUAAUAACAAAUGAUGAAAAGAUAAAAAGACAUCAGCCCAUGACAACUGAUGCUUGUGAAAAGACGUAAUUUGUUCUGUAGGUUUCUGUAGAUGUGCCAAGUGUAGAAUUGUCAGGAGGUUUUACAAUUUCUCCACAUCUGGAAACAAAUAAGACAUCGCUUAAAAAUGAUAAGUUUCUUUGAUUUUACCAAAUUGAACCUCUGGAAUAUAAUCAAGAGGAAGAUGGAUGAUCACAAGCCAUCAAACCAAGCUUAACUGCUUGAGUCUUUGCACCAGGAGUGGCAUGAAGUUAUCCAAAAGCAGUGUGUAAGACUGGGGGAGGAGAACAUGCCAAGCUGCAUGAAAACUGUGAUUAAAAACCAGGGAUAUUUCUGAACUCCAAAAUUUAUGAAUAUGAACUUGUCUUCUUUGCAUUAUUUGAGGUCUGAAAGAUCUGCAUCAUAGGCUACUUUUGGGUAGUGUACCUUGGUGUACCUUGGUGAGAAAUCGUUGACUGUAAGACAUUUUGCCCAGUUGACAGGGAGCACAUCAUUAGACUGGGAGAAGCAGGCUCUAGCCGUCGCCAGCAAUCCUCGCCUUUGUUUACAGUGAUACUGUGUGUUUGCUAUCGUAACGGCGGGAAAAGUAUACGUUGCGCUGCUCGAAACAAACAAAAGGCAUGAACUAAUUCUCUUUAUUAACCAUGGCUGUGUUUUGGGUGUUACGUAAAAUAAACCAAUCAGUGUGUCACUUGCCA